CCCCAGAGCCGUGCUCAGCGCCGCCGGUGACCGGCCCGUGCCGCGCCGCGUUCCCGCGCUGGUACUACAGCCCCGAGGAGAAAUCCUGCCGGGAAUUCACCUACGGCGGCUGCCGGGGCAACGCCAACAACCACCGGGACGAGCAGGAGUGUCUGCGGCGCUGCCGGCCCCGCCCAGAUGAUCUCGGCGCCGAAUUCCGGAGAUUCUUCUCUUCCAAAGGGGCCGUUUUUGGGGGGCUGCUGGCCCUGGGCGCCGCCCUGGGCUCAGUUCUCAGCCUCGCCCUUCGCCGCUGCCGCCGGACGCCCCGAGCGCCGCCGAGCCCCGAGGAUCGCGAGUGCCUGAUGAAGGAUCCCUACCCUGCCUGAGACCCCCCAGAAACCCCCAAAACACCCCAAAAAUAUCCCCAAAAAAUCCCCCAAAAACAUCACCCCGACCCCCCUCCUGAUAAUGAUCCGUGCUCUGCCCCCUCCGGGUGAUUUUUAGUGAUUUUUGUAGGGAAAAUUUAAAAAAUGGGGAGAAUUUGGGGAAGGGUGGGAAUCAGCAAAAACCCCCCAAAAAAACCCAAAAAAAUCCCCCAAAAAAUCCCAAAAAUUUCCCUCAAACCCCCUCCUGAUAAUGAUCCGUGCUCCCCCACCCCGGGUGAUUUUUAGUGAUUUUUGUAGGGAAAAUUUAAAAAAUGGGGAGAAUUUGGGGAAGGGUGGGAUCAGCAAAAACCCCCGAAAAAACCUCCAAAAAAAUCCCAAAAAAAUCCCCUAAAAAAUCCCAAAAAUUUCCCUCAAACCCCCCUCCUGAUAAUGAUCCGUGCUCCGCCCCCCCCGGGUGAUUUUUAGUGAUUUUUGUAGGGAAAAUUUAAAAAAUGGGGAGAAUUUGGGGAAGGGUGGGAAUCAGCAAAAAACCCCCAAAAAAUCCCAAAAAAAAUCCCCCAAAAAACCCCAAAAAAAUCCCCCAAAAAAUCAAAAACAUCACCCCAAACCCCCUCCUGAUAAUGAUCCGUGCUCUGCCCCCCCCCGGGUGAUUUUUAGUGAUUUUUGUAGGGAAAAUUUUUAAAAAUGGGGAGAAUUUGGGGAAGGGUGGGAAUCAGCAAAAACCCCCAAAAAACCCCCAAAAAAUCCCAAAAUCCCAAAAAUCCCCCAAAAAAUCCCAAAAAAUCCCCCCAAAAAUCCCAAAAAUUUCCACAAACCCCCUCCUGAUAAUGAUCCGUGCUCUGCCCCCUCCGGGUGAUUUUUAGUGAUUUUUGUAGGGAAAAUUUAAAAAAUGGGGAGAAUUUGGGGAAGGGUGGGAAUCAGCAAAAAACCCCCAAAAAAUCCCAAAAAAAAUCCCCCAAAAAAAUCCCCAAAAAAAUCCCCCAAAAAAUCCCAAAAAUUUUUCACAAACCCCCUCCUGAUAAUGAUCCGUGCUCCGCCCCCCCCGGGUGAUUUUUAGUGAUUUUUGUAGGGAAAAUUUAAAAAAUGGGGAGAAUUUGGGGAAGGGUGGGAAUCAGCAAAAACCCCCCAAAAAAUCCCAAAAAAAUCCCAAAAAAAUCCCCCCAAAAAUCCCAAAAAAAUCCCCCCAAAAAAUCCCAAAAAUUUCCACAAACCCUCUCCUGAUAAUGAUCCGUGCUCUGCUCCCCCCGGGUGAUUUUUAGUGAUUUUUAUAGGGAAAAUUUAAAAAUGGGGAAAUUUUGGGGAAGGGUGGGAAUCAGCAAAAACCCCCCAAAAAAUCCCCCCAAAAAUCCCAAAAAUUUCCUCAAACCCCCUCCUGAUAAUGAUCCGUGCUCUGCCCCCCCCGGGUGAUUUUUAGUGAUUUUUAUAGGGAAAAGAAAGAAAAAAAAAAUCAGAAUUUGGGGAAAAGAGGGUGGGAAUCUCUGACCCCUCCCCAAAAAAACCCCAAAAAUCUCCAAAAAACCCCCCCAAAACUAAAAAAAAAAAACCAAAACAAAAAUACCCAAAAAACCCCAAAAAAUCCCCCAGAAAAUCUCAAAAACCCUGAAAAAUCCCCCCCUCCCCCCAAUUUGUUCAGAUUUUGGGGGUCCCAGCGUUUAUUGGGGAUCCCCCCUCUAUUUGUGUGAUUUUUUUGGGGGAGUUUGUGAUUUUUGGGUGGAAUCGAGAGGAUUUUGGGGUUGGGGGAUGAUUUGGGGAGGGUUUUGUACGUUCCAGGGUUUUGUUGGAAUAAAGGGAAAAUUGGAACCAGCCCCGAA